CACCAGAGGGCGCAAUAAGAC
rnacentral:tRNA from 2 species